UGGAGGGCAAGUCUGGUGCCAGCAGCCGCGGUAAUUCCAGCUCCAAUAGCGCAUAUUAAAGUUGUUGCAGUUAAAAAGCUCGUAGUUGAAUUUCGGGGUUCUACCGUUGGUCGGGCUUUGUCUGUACUGGUGUGUAGAAUUUCUACCUUCUGGGGAACCAUCAUGCUAUUAAUUUAGCGUGGUGGGAAACCAGGACCUUUACCUUGAAAAAAUUAGUGUGUUCAAAGCAGGCUCAUGUCUGAAUACAUUAGCGUGGAAUAAUAGAAUAGGACGGUGGUCCUGUUUUGUUGGUCUCUGAAUCACCGUAAUGAUUAAUAGGGAUAGUUGGGGGCAUUAGUAUUCAAUUGUCAGAGGUGAAAUUCUUGGAUUUAUUGAAGACUAACUUCUGCGAAAGCAUUUGCCAAGGAUGUUUUCAUUAAUCAAGAACGAAAGUUAGGGGAUCGAAGACGAUCAGAUACCGUCGUAGCCUUAACCAUAAACUAUGCCGACUAGGGAUCGGACGAUGUUAAUUUUUCUUGACUCGUUCGGCGCCUUACGGGAAAC
rnacentral:rRNA from 1 species